UACAGAGGGGGCAAGCGCUGUUCGGAAUUACUGGGCGUAAAGGGCGCGUAGGCGGCCUGUUAAGUCGAACGUGAAAUCCCCGGGCUCAACCCGGGAACUGCGUCCGAUACUGGCAGGCUUGAAUUCGGGAGAGGGAUGUGGAAUUCCAGGUGUAGCGGUGAAAUGCGUAGAUAUCUGGAGGAACACCGGUGGCGAAGGCGGCAUCCUGGACCGAUAUUGACGCUGAUGCGCGAAAGCCAGGGGAGCAAACGGG
rnacentral:rRNA from 1 species